UACGUAGGCAGCAAGCGUUGUUCGGAGUUACUGGGCGUAAAGGGUGCGUAGGCGGCUUCUUAAGUCUGGUGUGAAAUCUCCCGGCUCAACUGGGAGGGUGCGCCGGAUACUGAGGGGCUAGAGUGUGGGAGAGGAAAGUGGAAUUCCUGGUGUAGCGGUGAAAUGCGUAGAUAUCAGGAAGAACACCCGUGGCUAAGGCGGCUCUCUAGUACGGUACUGACGCUGAGACGCGAAAGCGUGGGGGAGCGAACAGG
rnacentral:rRNA from 1 species